GACGAACGCUGGCGGCGUGCCUAAUACAUGCAAGUCGAACGCUUCUUUUUCCACCGGAGCUUGCUCCACCGGAAAAAAAAGAGUGGCGAACGGGUGAGUAACACGUGGGUAACCUGCCCAUCAGAAGGGGAUAACACUUGGAAACAGGUGCUAAUACCGUAUAACAAUCGAAACCGCAUGGUUUUGAUCUGAAAGGCGCUUUCGGGUGUCGCUGAUGGAUGGACCCGCGGUGCAUUAGCUAGUUGGUGAGGUAACGGCUCACCAAGGCCACGAUGCAUAGCCGACCUGAGAGGGUGAUCGGCCACAUUGGGACUGAGACACGGCCCAAACUCCUACGGGAGGCAGCAGUAGGGAAUCUUCGGCAAUGGACGAAAGUCUGACCGAGCAACGCCGCGUGAGUGAAGAAGGUUUUCGGAUCGUAAAACUCUGUUGUUAGAGAAGAACAAGGAUGAGAGUAACUGUUCAUCCCUUGACGGUAUCUAACCAGAAAGCCACGGCUAACUACGUGCCAGCAGCCGCGGUAA
rnacentral:rRNA from 1 species